rnacentral:rRNA from 1 species
CCUACGGGAGGCAGCAGUGGGGGAUAUUGCACAAUGGGGGGAACCCUGAUGCAGCGACGCCGCGUGGGUGAAGAAGCGCCUCGGCGCGUAAAGCCCCUUCAGCAGGGAAGCAAAUGACGGUACCUGAAGAAGAAGCCCCGGCUAACUACGGGCCAGCAGCCGCGGUAAUACGGGGGGGGGAAGCGUUAUCCGGAUUUACUGGGUUGAAAGGGGGCGCAGACGGCGCUGCAAGCCAGGAGGGAAAGCCCGGGGCCCAACCCCGGUACUGCUGUUGGAACUGGGUGGCUGGAGUGGAGGAGGGGCAGGCGGAAUGCGUGGUGUAGCGGUGAAAUGCGUAGAUAUCAGGAGGAACACCGGUGGCGAAGGCGGCCUGCUGGACUGCAACUGACGUUGAGGCCCGAAAGCGUGGGGAGCAAACAGGACUAGAUACCCUAGUAGUC